rnacentral:lncRNA from 1 species
CUCUAGUUUUGGGAAGCAGAGGCCUUAGCACAAUCAAAAGGUUCAUAAUUUUUUAUACUCUCACAUUAUCUAGACAUUUUUUUGUAUUUUUUUCCUAAAAGAUUCAUUAAAGAAAGUAGUAUUAAUUAUAGGAUCAUGCUAAACAAUGCCCCGGGGCACUUGUUAAGCAUUUUCCUUAAGUAUAUUGGUGAGUUCCUAGGUGAACCACCUUUAUAAGCGAUAUGCUGUAGACCAAUAUUUAAUAAUUAUCAGAGUUUCUUACAAUGACCGACGAUGCUCUUUAGAAUUAAAAACUUGUUAGCUCAUCCUCUUUACAACUAAGACGGUGACUUAAUUGAUGAUAGUUCAAUGCAAAUUAUAUUUUUUUUUUAUUGUUUUGAUCGAACUGAUAUCAAUUAAAUUAUUAUUUUAAUCAUGCAAGUAUGUUAAUAAUUAUGAUGAUGAUGAUGUUUAUAAGUAUGUUUAGAAUCUGCCCAAGUAUGUUUAUCUAUAUUUAUAAUUAUGAUGAUGAUUAUUAAUUUUGGUUUCUUAGACAUAUUUUUGUUAUGGUGUAAAAAAUACAGGAUAUUACUUGGAAGUGUUAGUAACUUUGUGAUGGUUCACUCUCCAUGCCCAGUGACUAUUGUGAAGGAUUAUUCAAGAAGCAGCAGCAGCAGCAGCGACUAGUUGAUCCAUAUGGUAUAUUUUUCUUGUACUGUAUUUGGGCUAAUGGAGUUACACUUCCAAAUAACAAGCCCUUAGCUNNN